rnacentral:misc_RNA from 1 species
GACGUAGGGGGCAAGCGUUGUUCGGAAUUACUGGGCGUAAAGGGCGCGUAGGCGGCUUUGUAAGUCGGGGGUGAAAGCCUGUGGCUCAACCACAGAAUUGCCUUCGAUACUGCAUGGCUUGAGACCGGAAGAGGUAAGUGGAACUGCGAGUGUAGAGGUGAAAUUCGUAGAUAUUCGCAAGAACACCAGUGGCGAAGGCGGCUUACUGGUCCGGAUCUGAUGCUGAGGCGCGAAAGCGUGGGGAGCAAACAGG